CCUACGGGGGACUGCAGUGGGGAAUAUUGCACAAUGGGGGAAACCCUGAUGCAGCGACGCCGCGUGAAGGAAGAAGUAUUUCGGUAUGUAAACUUCUAUCAGCAGGGAAGAAAAUGACGGUACCUGACUAAGAAGCCCCGGCUAACUACGUGCCAGCAGCCGCGGUAAUACGUAGGGGGCAAGCGUUAUCCGGAUUUACUGGGUGUAAAGGGAGCGUAGGCGGCUGCGCAAGUCAGAAGUGAAAGCCCGUGGCUCAACCACGGGACUGCUUUGGAAACUGUUGAACUGGAGUGCAGGAGAGGUAAGUGGAAUUCCUAGUGUAGCGGUGAAAUGCGUAGAUAUUAGGAGGAACACCAGUGGCGAAGGCGGCUUACUGGACUGUAAAUGACGCUGAGGCUCGAAAGCGUGGGGAGCAAACAGGAUUAGAUACCCUUGUAGUC
rnacentral:rRNA from 1 species